AUACGGAGGGGGCAAGCGUUGUUCGGAAUUACGGGGCGUAAAGGGCGCGUAGGCGGAUCGUCACGUCAGAGGUGAAAGCCCUGGGCUCAACCCGGGAACUGCCUUUGAAACUGACGGUCUAGAGUCCGGAAGAGGAUGGCGGAAUUCCCAGUGUAGAGGUGAAAUUCGUAGAUAUUGGGAAGAACACCAGUGGCGAAGGCGGCCAUCUGGUCCGGUACUGACGCUGAGGCGCGAAAGCGUGGGGAGCAAACAGGAUUAGAAACCCCAGUAGUCC
rnacentral:rRNA from 1 species